rnacentral:lncRNA from 1 species
CUUCUUACUAGCUCUUGUUGUUCACAGAGACUCGUGGCAGAUAUAUGAUGCUAUUGUAAUUCAUCCUUGUGAGCCAGGAGUAACUGAAUAGAUUAAUGUCUACAACCUAAAAUGGUGCGUCUUGUAGUGACGGACCAGUUCCUGAUCUUUGUUGGACGGGACAGGGUCACCACUCCCUUGUAUUUUGGGAUUUGUGUAUUUUAAUGGGAUUUAUGGAUAUUUACCGUAAAGUACAAUGAUGGACCAGUUCCUGCUUUUGUUGGACGGGGCGGAGUUGCCACUCCCUUGUACAUGUAUAUCAGGAUUUGUGUAUUUUAAAGUCAUUUAUUGAUAUUUACGGUGCGUCUUGUAGUCACUGAUGCUUGUG